rnacentral:rRNA from 1 species
GACGAACGCUGGCGGCGUGCCUAAUUCAUGCAAGUCGAGCGAAGUUUUUCUGGUGCUUGCCCUAGAAAAACUUAGCGGCGAACGGGUGAGUAACACGUAAAGAACCUGCCUCAUAGACUGGGACAACUAUUGGAAACGAUAGCUAAUACCGGAUAACAGUAUUUCUCGCAUGAGAGAUAUUUAAAAGUUGGUUAUGCUAACACUAUGAGAUGGCUUUGCGGUGCAUUAGCUAGUUGGUGGGGUAAAGGCCCACCAAGGCGACGAUGCAUAGCCGACCUGAGAGGGUGAUCGGCCACACUGGGACUGAGACACGGCCCAGACUCCUACGGGAGGCAGCAGUAGGGAAUCUUCCGCAAUGGGCGAAAGCCUGACGGAGCAACGCCGCGUGAGUGAAGAAGGAUUUCGGUUCGUAAAGCUCUGUUGUUAGGGAAGAAUGGAUAUGUAGUAACUAUACAUGUAAGAGACGGUACCUAACCAGAAAGCCACGGCUAACUACGUG